GACUCCGGAGAGGGAGCCUGAGAAAUGGCUACCACAUCCAAGGAUGGCUGCAGGCGCGCAAAUUACCCACUCUCAGUACGAGGAGGUAGUGACGAAAAAUAACAAUGCGGGACUCAUCAGAGGCCUCGCAAUUGGAAUGAGCGCGCUUUAAAUCGAUCGACGAGGAUCUAUUGGAGGGCAAGUCUGGUGCCAGCAGCCGCGGUAAUUCCAGCUCCAAUAGCGUAUAUUAAAGUUGUUGCAGUUAAAAAGCUCGUAGUUGGAUCUGGGGUUCGGGUCGGCGGUUUGCCGCUUCGGCGGCUACUGCCGUGCUCGACUCUUACUAGCCGGUGCGUCUUGCGGUGCUCUUCAUCGAGUGCCGUAGGAGCCUGGCAUGUUUACUUUGUAAAAAUUAGAGUGCUCAAAGCAGGGGAUUCCGCCUGAAUAGUGUUGCAUGGAAUAAUGGAAUAGGACCUCGGUUCUAUUUUGUUGGUUUUCGGAACUUGAGGUAAUGAUUAAGAGGGACGGUCGGGGGCAUUCGUAUUUCGGUGUUAGAGGUGAAAUUCUUGGAUCGCUGAAAGACGGACAAAUGCGAAAGCAUCUGCCAAGAACGUCUCCAUUAAUCAAGAACGAAAGUCAGAGGUUCGAAGACGAUCAGACACCGUCCUAGUUCUGACCAUAAACGAUGCCAACUAGCGAUCCGCAGUGGUUGCUAUAAACGGACUCUGCGAGCAGCUUCCGGGAAACCAAAGUGUUUGGGUUCCGGGGGAAGUAUGGUUGCAAAGCUGAAACUUAAAGGAAUUGACGGAAGGGCACCACCAGGAGUGGAGCCUGCGGCUUAAUAUGACCCAACACGGGGAAACUCACCCGGUCCGGACACUGUAAGGAUUGACAGAUCGAGAGCUCUUUCUUGAUUCGGUGGAUGGUGGUGCAUGGCCGUUCUUAGUUGGUGGAGUGAUUUGUCUGGUUAAUUCCGAUAACGAACGAGACUCUAGCCUGCUAACUAGUUGCGCCGUGUUCAUACGCGGCUGUAGACUUCUUAGAGGGACAGGUGGCGUUUAGCCACACGAAAUUGAGCAAUAACAGGUCUGUGAUGCCCUUAGAUGUCCGGGGCCGCACGCGCGCUACACUGAAGGAGUCAGCGUGUGCUAUCCGGGCUCGGAAGAGUUCGGUAACCCGUUGAAACUCCUUCGUGCUUGGGAUUGUGGCUUGUAAUUAUCGCGCAUGAACGAGGAAUUCCCAGUAAGUGCAAGUCAUCAGCUUGCGCUGACUACGUCCCUGCCCUUUGUACACACCGCCCGUCGCUACUACCGAUUGAAUGGUUUAGCAAGGUACUCGGAUUGGUCUCGAUCUUGUACGAAAGUGCGGGAUCUGUGGCCGAGAAGAAGGCCAAACUUGAUCAUUUAGAGGAAGUAAAAGUCGUAACAAGGUU
rnacentral:rRNA from 1 species